rnacentral:tRNA from 1 species
GCCUGGAUGGCUUAGUCGAUUAAGCAUCAGACUUCCCCUCAGAUCAUGAUCUCACGGUUUGUGGGUUCAAACCCCUCAUCAGGCU